AAGUCGUAACAAGGUUUCCGUAGGUGAACCUGCGGAAGGAUCAUUAUUGAAUUUUUGAAGGGGUUGUUUUGCUGGCCUCCAUCCGGGGCAUGUGCACGCUCCGUUCAAAUCCAACCUUUACACACCUGUGCAUCUUUUGUAGGGUUCGCGUGGUCGAAAGGCCGUGCGGCUCUAUGUUUAUCAUAAACUCUGUAGUAUGUGUAGAAUGUCAACGCGUGUAACGCAUCUUUAUACAACUUUCAGCAACGGAUCUCUUGGCUCUC
rnacentral:misc_RNA from 1 species